ACAGCGUUUGAAUUCAGUUCACAUGAUUCGUGUUUACAAUGGAAUUAAUUCGAACAAUAAAUGUUUCUAUUAUAUUGCUCCAAUGUCUGUAAACGUAGUAUCGGAUUCUGAGUGUGUGUAUACUGCCUAGAUCUCUUGCGUGUGACUUGAAGAAAAUCCAAAGUUUGUUCAAUGUGUCAACACGAAAUUGUGAUCUCCAGCAGUCGAAUUUUGGUGGCGUCUACCGGGGUAUAAAUGGUCAAUGAGGGCACAGGAAACACCUCACUGCCUACGACAGGAUUUGAUGUGAAUACUAGACAGGACGUUACCUAUCAUUUGGAGCAUGAGAUGAGAACUCUAGAGGAAACUGGAAGAUGUGGGCAGAUCCAGUCCUCACACUGUUGUAUGGCUGUAACGUACUGGACCAGUUGACUUACAAGAGAUCAUAGGUGAUGGAUCCAGAUUCUUCCAGCAGCCUCAGAAUUUCCUCUUCAGUCAAACUGUCCCCCAUUUUACGACAAACGUUUGCGAUAAAGACAACUACAUAAGCACACUGCAAGAGUGAAUGCGCGGGAAUUGGUUUGGCGCCUUUUUUGAGUGACAUAGCGCUUAGAGGAUGCAGAAACACCAUCUAGCGGUCGUCCGAUGUACUACAAGACCGAAACACUCAACUCCAGAUGUCACUGCAUCAUCCAUGGCCUCCGUAUUGAGACCUACUACAGUCCUGAAGCACGUAUUGACAAUAGAGGCUUCUUGUUCAAGGAACCUGAAUUUCUGUUCAGUGGUUGUGAAGAUUCAGUGCUCAUAGUGAAGAAGAUGUGACAACAUGACCCAAAUGCAAGAAUUCUCCAGCACUGUCAUACAGACUGUAAUGCAGCAACUUAUUAUGAGAUAACAUUUGUUGCAGUAUGGCACACACCUGUCUAGUACGGUGGCUGCAUGAUGGCUAUGUCGUGGACAGUACUUGUAUUAGUGUCCAUGUUUAACACCCCUUGUAGUUGUCUCAUCAUAUACUGUUCAUAUUUUACUUUGCUCAUUUAUUUAAUGAAAACUGUUACACAGCCACUGCUUAGAUUAUAAUGUUAAUGUUAAAAUGCAGUACCACCACACUCUCAAACUGUAGGUUCCCUCAAACGCCUCCAUUUUCCUGCAUUUAUUUGUUUCUAUUUAUUUUAUUGAUAGUGCUUAAGUUCCAUAUGUAUGCUGUAGUUACAUUGAUAAUUGUCUCUUCUUUUAAUUGGUUUGUGUAUCACUCUCCAUGUUUCAUACCUCCUGAUGUAGCCUUGUCUAGUACUAAUUUUAUUUUAUUUUAUUAGUUUUGUUUAUUAAUAGAAACUGCUAUGUAGGCAUGCUAUUCCUAUU